rnacentral:lncRNA from 1 species
AAGAAGUCAAGUUUAUAUUAAUUCUUUCUUUCUCUGCUUUAUUUCCUUUUUCUUAGAUUCUUUGUGACUUGUUUGACAUUUCUGUAUUCUUUUUAUUUGCCCUAAGAUUUACAGUUCUGGGAAUUGCUACUUUUUAGUGCAAUGAGAUUUUUUGAUGUCUUAAAUGAUAUCAUGUUUAAAUCGAGAAAUAAAGUAUCUUCAAGCAAAAUACGAUAUUUCAAGUGUGAGGAAAUUAUGCUUUCUGAUAUGCCAAGGGCUAUGUACUUGAUAAAGAAAUCUCUUUUGUUGUUUACUAGUUGCAGUUGUUCUUCUUGCGUACAUGAGAGCUUGUGUCUGCUAGAUUGUGAUGUAUGGCUUGUGUUUCCAGUAUAACUUUUCAUCUAUUUAAUGCUGACAUGAUCUCAGACUGAUGCUAAGAGUGCUCAGCCAUUUAAUGAUUGCUAUGCAAAUGUGUAGAAUUUGCGCAGGAAAUAAAAGGUUGAGUUUCAGAUGCCCCGUCUCUCUUUUUGCCUCAGAUGCCCUGUUUAUCACAUGUGGCUUUCCUUUAGACAGACUGGGAAUUCUUAGCCAAAUUGCCAUAUGAGAAACAGGACGUCAUGUCCUUGGUCAAGGAAAAAGACAAAGUGUAGUAUCUUAGUAGUUAAUAAUUCUUUGAUUAGACACGUUUGAGAGAAAUAUCUUCUUCUUUGAUCCCUGCCGUGGAUUGCUAUACAUAUAUGGUUCUUGGUCGAGCAAUUCUUCAAUAAGAGCUCUUUAGUUGUAAUCAGAUCAUAAUCUUUACAUGCAUCAGAGAUAAUUAGUAUGCUUUGGGAACUUGUUGCAUACAGAAAACAUGGCCUUGAUAUAAUUUGUCUUCAUAAUGACAAAAUCAAUUUGUUUCAUGUUUCUUCUCUGUUUUGUAGAACCCUGUUCCAUGAAUAUCAUUUCUCUUUUCCUUUCUUCCCCUUCUUUUCUGUUCAUUUUUCAUUGAUGACAUUGUGGAAUCUAUGAUUUGUUUAAGUAUCUUAUAGAUAUGCUAAAUGCUAAUAUUUGAUUUUCAGCUCCAAAGGCUCACGGCUAAAUCAUGCUUCUCAUUAGAUCUGCCUACAUUGAUUCAUCCUGUUGAACACUCUCAUGCCUUCGCACAGCUAGGUAAGACCUUUGAACUUAUGAUUCCUUUCUUUGAUGGAGAUCAUGUACAUCAUGUAUGGUGAUAUGACGCACCUCUGAUGCAUAUCAAAUGAUUAUCAGUUACUCAUGUGUGUACAUGGUGUGACCUUUUAUAUUAUAGGUUGUGCCAAAUUAGGGCAUUGUGACAAUGAUUCUUGCUGUGACAGUUUGAUAUGAUGCUCAUGUUAAGAUCGAGUAUACCUAUAGCUAUAGAUUUACUCAUAUGAUUGUAGUCAAUCACAAUGAGGAAGAACAUAAGUGAUUGCUCUUCAUUAACGAUUCUUGGUUGUUCAAUGUUCUUAUUCCUAUUAGUUAAUUUGUUCAUUUGACUAUAAGCUAAGUCAAACUUUCACUUCAAGGUAUCUCCCACUCUUCAAACGAACUGUUUGCAGGAUUACUUUGAACUGUAGUUUUGUGAUAAGGCACAAAUCCGAAUGUGACAUUAUUGCUGCUGGCUCUAGCAUAGUAAGAUUCUCUCUAGUUUGUGAUAUAGCAGAAACAAUUAGGGUUAAUUAUUUUGUCUCAAGAUGUUAAAACAUUUUAGAAACAGCAUCCCACAAAGUGUCUUCAAAUGAUUUGAUGCACUCCAACUGAUGAUGCAUGUCCAAAUCAGUUUUUGCCAAGAUGUUCACGUGUCUACAGAGGAUUGCAGAUGUGAUCACCAGCGAUUUCAUGCUUUAACUUAUCAGAUUGUUUAGAUAAUUUUACAGCAUAAACCUGUACGAGCAUCAGCUUUUCUGAGGUUAAUUUUCGUCAUCUACAUAUUUUGUGAUGCAGUUUGACAAGAGUUUUUCGAACUUUGAGGUAAUUCCAGGUGCACUAUUGAUGAUUCUGAGCUUUAUAGUUAUCGACUAUGUGUGAUCCCUAACAAUGAUGAAAGAUGUAAAGGACUUGC